CAUAUACUCCCUUCGUCCAGAAAUACUUGUCAUAGAAAUGGAUAUAAAUGAAUGUAUCUAGAACUAAAAUACAUCUAGAUACAUCCAUUUCUCGAACAAGUAUUUCCGGACGGAGGAAGUAUAUA
rnacentral:pre_miRNA from 1 species